AUUCCUUUAAUUAUUAGUGAUUUAUUUAGGAAUUGAUUCAUCAUCCUCCUCUAAUAUCUUUACACUGCUGAUGUAAAAGUGAUUGGAACUGUGAGAUGUUUUCAUUUUUGUUGUGGACACGAGUGUGGCAGUGUAGCCAGUCCCUUGUUUUGUUUUUCUCUCGCUAUGAGUAUGGAACGCUGCCCUGAAUCUUUCGUCUGCAUUUUGGUAACACUAGCAACACAUGUAAGAAUCACGAAUGCUGUUGGGUGUGAGGACGUCAAACGGUCCACCCUUUCAUUUUUUGGCUAUUUUACCAAAUUUUUAAUACAAAUGAUUAUCUAUCCUUUGCAAGUUUGUUGUAUUGUGUUGACUACAGCCUGAAGUCAGGGAUACAAUCAUACAAUAGAAAUGAAGUCUUGGACUCUAAUGGUUCUGCUGCUCGGAACGGUGAAUACAACGGUAGUUUUCUAAAAGCUGUUUCUAGCGGAGAUAUACCACAGUUUAGGCGACAAGAACACUGGAAUAGCAAGGAUUAGGUUACCAUUUAAGACCUUGAGACAAUUUCAACAACUUUGCCUAAAUGAAUGCUACAGAACCACUGUAAUAGCAAGGGUUAGGUUACCUCGAGCAAACCUGAAGUCAGUUCGAACAAUCUUGCCUUGGAUUGCAAGUAAAGACCCCGAGUAGGUCUUGUCACAACGAUGUGGCUGAAGCUGGUAACGGUUUGUGUUAGAAGACUAAAUGUUAAUAAUAAAUUCCAAUAAGAGUUUUAUAGUUUUCAGACCUAUGAUUUUACUUUAGUCAUUCAGUGUACAUGCUAUAUAAAUCAGUUUUAGACUUAUGAAUUGAUUAUACUUAUUUUAAUCUUAGUGUACAGAAGAUUUUUAUGAAGUUUUACAGAGCUAUGAUUUUACUGUCUAAAGUGUAAGUCUUGUAUGAUAUUUGAAGUUAGUUUUUCUAACCAAUAAUUUUACAAUACUUUAAUGAUUUGAGUUCAGUACAUAUAUGAAUAGUUCUAUGUAAAUACGAAUAGGAGUUAUGAAGUGAA